UAGCAAUAUCAUAGUGGCGCACGGGUGCGUAACACGUAUGCAACCUACCUAUUAUUGGGGGAUAGCCUUUGGAAACGGAGAUUAAUACCGCAUAAUACGAUUGACUGGCAUCGGUUGAUUGUUAAAGCUUAGGCGAUAAUAGAUGGGCAUGCGUCCAAUUAGUUAGUUGGUUAUGUAACGGCUGACCAAGACGAUGAUUGGUAGGGGAUCUGAGAGGAUAAUCCCCCACACUGGCACUGAGAUACGGGCCAGACUCCUACGGGAGGCAGCAGUAGGGAAUAUUGGGCAAUGGGCGGAAGCCUGACCCAGCCAUGCCGCGUGCAGGAAGAAGGCGUUAUGCGUUGUAAACUGCUUUUUUAUAGGAAGAAGGAUCCCUUGCGAGGGAAGGUGACGGUACUAUAAGAAUAAGCACCGGCUAAUUCCGUGCCAGCAGCCGCGGUAAUACGGAGGGUGCAAGCGUUGUCCGGAUUUAUUGGGUUUAAAGGGUGCGUAGGCGGUUUAUUAAGUCAGUGGUGAAAGACGGUCGCUCAACGAUUGCAGUGCCAUUGAUACUGGUAGACUUGAGUGAGAUUGAGGUAGCUGGAAUGGAUAGUGUAGCGGUGAAAUGCAUAGAUAUUAUCCAGAACACCGAUUGCGAAGGCAGGUUACUAAGUCUUAACUGACGCUGAGGCACGAAAGUGUGGGGAUCAAACAGGAUUAGAUAC
rnacentral:rRNA from 1 species